rnacentral:rRNA from 1 species
GCGUGCGGGAAGAAGGCCUUCGGGUUGUAAACCGCUUUUGUCAGGGAAGAAAUACUCUGGGCUAAUACCCUGGGGUGAUGACGGUACCUGAAGAAUAAGCACCGGCUAACUACGUGCCAGCAGCCGCGGUAAUACGUAGGGUGCUAGCGUUAAUCGGAAUUACUGGGCGUAAAGCGUGCGCAGGCGGUUGUGUAAGACAGAUGUGAAAUCCCCGGGCUCAACCUGGGAACUGCAUUUGUGACUGCACGGCUUGAGUGCGGCAGAGGGGGAUGGAAUUCCGCGUGUAGCAGUGAAAUGCGU